AUUGAACGCUGGCGGCAGGCUUAACACAUGCAAGUCGAGCGGGGUGAUGGUGCUUGCACUAUCACUUAGCGGCGGACGGGUGAGUAAUGCUUAGGAAUCUGCCUAUUAGUGGGGGACAACAUCUCGAAAGGGAUGCUAAUACCGCAUACGUCCUACGGGAGAAAGCAGGGGAUCACUUGUGACCUUGCGCUAAUAGAUGAGCCUAGGUCGGAUUAGCUAGUUGGUGGGGUAAAGGCCUACCAAGGCGACGAUCUGUAGCGGGUCUGAGAGGAUGAUCCGCCACACUGGGACUGAGACACGGCGCAGACUCCUACGGGAGGCAGCAGUGGGGAAUAUUGGACAAUGGGGGGAACCCUGAUCCAGCCAUGCCGCGUGUGUGAAGAAGGCCUUAUGGUUGUAAAGCACUUUAAGCGAGGAGGAGGCUCUUUUGGUUAAUACCCAAGAUGAGUGGACGUUACUCGCAGAAUAAGCACCGGCUAACUCUGUGCCAGCAGCCGCCGUAA
rnacentral:rRNA from 1 species